rnacentral:rRNA from 1 species
CCUACGGGUGGCAGCAGUGAGGAAUAUUGGUCAAUGGUCGAAAGUCUGAACCAGCCAAGUAGCGUGAAGGAUGACUGCCCUAUGGGUUGUAAACUUCUUUUAUGUGGGAAUAAAAUACGGUAUGCGUACCCUCUUGUGUGUACCCUAUGAAUAAGGAUCGGCUAACUCCGUGCCAGCAGCCGCGGUAAUACGGAGGAUCCGAGCGUUAUCCGGAUUUAUUGGGUUUAAAGGGAGCGUAGGCGGCUUGUUAAGUCAGUUGUGAAAGGUCGCGGCUCAACCGUAACACUGCAGUUGAAACUGGCAGGCUUGAGUACGGGAGAGGUAGGCGGAAUUCGUGGUGUAGCGGUGAAAUGCUUAGAUAUCGCGAAGAACUCCGAUUGCGAAGGCAGCUUACUGGACCGCAACUGACGCUGAUGCACGAAAGCGUGGGUAUCGAACAGGAUUAGAUACCCUUGUAGUC